rnacentral:rRNA from 1 species
GAUCUUCGGACCUCGUGCUAUUAGAUGAGUCUGCGUCGGAUUAGCUUGUUGGUGAGGUAAUGGCUCACCAAGGCGAACGAUCCGUAGCUGGUCUGAGAGGAUGACCAGCCACACUGGAACUGAGACACGGUCCAGACUCCUACGGGAGGCAGCAGUGGGGAAUAUUGCACAAUUGGGCGCAAGGACCCUGAUGCAGCCAUGCCGCGUGUGUGGAGAAGGCCUUAGGGUUGUAAAGCACUUUCAGCAGUGAGGAAAGGGGUGUCGUUAAUAGCGCCAUCCUGUGACGUUAACUGCAGAAGAAGGACCGGCUAACUCCGUG